rfam:Gossypium raimondii Chr13_contig_1062, whole genome shotgun sequence.
UGUUAAAAAUUUCAUCUAUUUAUAUUGUUAAAAUUGACGUGGCUGACAAAAUAACCAGAUAGCUAUACGUGGCGUGUCACGUGUACUUUAUGCUUACGUACAACGACCAAUUUUUAACAAAAAGAUCAGUUUAGUCUUUAAUU